GUAAGAUUUCCUUCAAUUUGUUCAGUUCUGCGUAUAAGAAGAAAAGCCUUAAGAGUAAGGCCUUGCUUUUAUCAGAUAUCUCAAAGGGAACUCAGAAAAAGCCCAGCCAGGCUAACAGCGGGUUUUGCAACCCCCAUUGCUCCCUUUGGAGCACAGUCACCUGGCUGACUCAGAGAUCAGCUCCAGAUACUGCUUUGGGACAUCCAUCUCCACCUGGCUUGAGAUUCUUCCCCCUGAGAGGUUUCCUUACCUGAUGGACAAGGCAGCUGUCAUUGUCAUUGCUAUAUUCUUUGUUUAGUUUACAUACUUGCUGUAUGUCUGGUGCAUGCUACACAGAAAAGGAAAGAAAUGCUACAGAAGCUGAAGAAGCAAAAUGUCACGCUAUUCGCAGAAACUGAAGAAAUUUGCUGUGCUUCUGGAAGGCUCUUCUGAUAUCCUGCUCAUAGGCAACUGUGAUAGAAGGAAUGAUCAUGUAUAUAUACAUAUUUGCAGAUAAUCUGAAGAAACUUUAUGCAAGAUGCUGACUGACAAUUUCUGAGGAUGGAAAUCUUCUAUUUAGCAAUCAGUCUGUUUGCCUACAGUGCUUGCCAGUAUGACUCUGGCCGUUUCAGGAAGACUAGACUCAAGAUGUGAAGAUGUCUAGCCACCAGUUAGUUUGGUUCCAGCCCCUUUGCUGAAGUUUGCUGAGCCUUCCAGGUGUCAUCCCAACUCCCUAAAUAGCUGCUUAGCAUCCUCUUCUACCUCAGUAUUUCUCACCCUCUGUCCCAUAAUUGUCAGUGCCUUGGAUGGUCUGCAUGCAACCCACUUAAGGAUUUCUCAAGAAACGGAGGGUGAGACAGCCUGGGUAUGAUUGCCCUCCAGGGCAAGGUUUUGUGAGAAGAGAGGGAGAAGGGCAAUGCCCAGAAAACUGUCAUCAGUAGCAUUCUGUAACCAAAUAAACACCUUCUUAGAUGUCCAGGCCUGGGUGCGCCUUGAUGAUCUUCUUUCCAUGACAGGUUUGGCUGGAGCUAACAAGUAGUCUGUUCUGUGCACUGCUUUCCAGAGCAAUCAGUUGGGAAUACUUUACAGAGUGUUGUCUUACUCCAGGUCCUCAGGGCUUCAGAGGUCAGCAUCCUACACUCUGGUGUUUCUCUAUCAGUAGCUCAUGUAUUUUCCUUAUUUUUAUACCAUGGCUGACGUGAGCAAAUAGACAUGUCGUGCAGAAGGAGAGCAGGUGCUGCUACCACCAGCUCCUUGGCUGGGUGCAGUAGCAUGGCACUGGUAAGUGUGAGGCAUGAGCGGCAGCUACUCAGGUGGUGCGCUGCUGACCUGGGAUGCACGCAGAUCUUUCUAGUCAGAAAAUACACCUCAGGAUGAAGCUGUGGCCAUUUUCUGCCAGAUAGCUAGGAAGUGGCUUUCAUGGGGAAAGCACAUAACAACUGUGCUCUGGACCACUGCCAUUGUUUCCACACAUCACACUAUUGUUCUGUUAUCAAUGCUAAAAUAAGUUUGAAAGGCUAACUCUAUGUGUACUGAUCCACAUUUUUCUGCAUUAUCUUUAUUUGCUAAUUACAGCACCGCAAGAUAUUCUAAGGGCAACCUUCCUCUUGCACCUCUGAGGCACUAUCAUCCCUCUAUGACAAAACUGCAGUCACCUCCAGCUCCGCAUUCUGUCCAUCUCAUCCUGUGAUAAAGAUCCUCCUCAGACCUGGAGGAGCAUUAUGAACACAGCCUCUCUGCAUUUGUCACUAUCUGUCAGCCUUCUUCAGUGCUGUGGGAAUGAGCAGCAUUUUGGUCAAGGGUCCUGCUUGCUUUAUCUUAUCUCUGCUGUCACUACUGUAAACCUGCGAGAGCCCACUUGCCUUCUUUUUCUUGAGAGCUUGUGUGGUGAAAUUUUGACUGUGUUGUGACAAAAAUGUGUAAGUGAGUAAGAGCUGGAUGGAUGUUUAGAAAUCAUAAAGUAAAACAGCGUCUGCAGACAGUGGUGAUAACAGCUGGCAUCUUGUUUUGGACACUGGAAAAG
ensembl:lncRNA